AUCCAGCUGACGAGUCCAUAGGACGAAAUGCGCAUCCUGGAU
rfam:Trichobilharzia regenti genome assembly, scaffold: TRE_scaffold0020417